GUCAUUGUGAUUUGCUGGUGGACUGGCGCAGCUUCUCAAAGAAUGAAAGUGGCUGGAUUUGGAUCGAUGGCUUCCUGGAUUUAAUCAAAAAACACUUAGUAGAUCUUUGGAAAAAUGGAUACAUCAUGGGAUUUGUGACCGGGAAGAGAGUAGAACAACUCCUACAGGAAAAA